GUGGCAUCCUAAAAACUAGCAGAUUUAUUGUAGCAUAAGCUUUUAGGGGGAAAACGGCCAAGCUUCAAGAGUGUCGUCUGACACAAGAGUUCUCAUCUGACGUUUUACUGGAGGCGAAAGCUGCGUGUAAAUCUACAAAGCGUGGUGUCCAGAUUUUGGAGCAUUCCAGAUUUCGGAUGUCCAGAUGAGGGAUACUCAACCUGUAUCAGAAUCAGAUUUGCAGUGUGGGGUAGAGAAGUAAUAACCCUUUGACCGUGCUGUAGUCCCAAUCCCAUCCCUAUAAGUGCUACUUACCUAACAAAAAACAAGCACACCAGAACUAAUGAUGCAAUUAAUGUAAUGUGUAGUUUGGCACUUGGAUGCAACUUGGAAAUGCACUUUAACUGCUAUAAUUCUAAUUCAGCUUUAACAUAGUGUGGGUGAUAAGGAACCAGGGUCGAAGACAUGUUGGAGUCAGGGUGGCAGAGGAAUGAUAACACCUGGGCCAGAAUUCUGAAUUUGGGUAUACCAGUGCAUCUGAAUGUCCAGCUCAAAUUGGACUGACCUGAUGGCCUAAGAGCUGAUUGAACCAAAGAAGCAUCAAAAGAACCACAGGUAUAACUGUUCUGGAUCUAGGGCUGGGAAGCCAGACUGAAGCAAGCCCACCUUGAUAGCUUCUCUCCAACACAUGUGUUGCUUUACUUUGCUCCCCAGCUACUCUGCACAUCUCUUUGCUUUGACUCUACAAUCAACAGCACCACUGUUGUGAUUGAUUCAAUCAAUCUGGCCAAUUGAUCAAGUCCUGCAAUGUUUUGAAUUGGACUUUUCUCCUAAACUUCUCCCUCGCUUUCUCCUUCAAAUUCCCCAUCCUUCUUACAUUCCCCUCCCUUCAGAAUUGUAAUCUGACAAUUUAGGGACUUUAGCCUGCUUGCCUAGCCUCUUUUCUGUAUGCCCCAUAUUUUCUUCAGUAAAAGUACCAAAAGACAAUUCCUGGUUUGGUCUUUGCCUCUCUCCUCACACACCUAUGGGAUGGAUGAACUCCACAUAAAGGUGUCUUUCUGCUGCAGACUCUGUAAGUCUGCAGUGAUGGUGCAGUAUUUAGACUGCAGCCUGACAGUACAGGUGGAGUAGUCUCACAGUGGCUGAGCCCUUAGCUAGGACAGAUUUGCAGCAGUCCAAUUGGGAGCACUUCUUAGGUGCUAGCCCAACCAUAGCAGUAAAAUCCAACAAAGUGAUGGUGUUACACUUAACUGGGUGAGCAGCCUGAUUGUGGUGGUACAGCCCUCUGGUUGUAGCCUGACUGUGACGGUGCUACCUCUAACUGGGUCAGCAGCCUGAUAAAGGGGACGGUGCAGGGUUUACAAAGGUGAGGGUGCAGCUUGACACUGACGGUACAGCCUUUUGGCUGCAGCAUGACAUAACAGGUUAGGAGCAAUUCAAAUAAGCAAUCCAGUGUAGGCAGCCCCUCUCCAAAGAGAGGAACUAGAAAGGAAAGGACAGGACACCUGGGCUUCCAGUUAAAUUGGCACAUAUUGGUCUGAAAUUAUUGGUGAAGGUGUAGUCGCAGAUACUGCAGCUGAACAAACUAUUUGGUGACAGUGCAGAUGUAAAACUGCAGCCUGACAAAUUGCCAUUAAGUGAGGGUGCAGCCACUGGAUUUAGUUGGACAGCUCACUGAUGACAGCCCGCUGCUGCCAUCUGGUGACGCAUCGAUAAAUCCCUGCUGCAGCUGGACAGGAAAAAAAAUGGUUCCUGUGGCUUAGAGCAAAUUCUCUGCCAAUCAAACAGGGAGCUCCCUUUGUUUGUAGCAAUAAAGUGAUGCACAGGCAAUGGGAGGGGAAAUGUGUUGGGGAUUCCAAAAAGAAUGGAUAGCAGUGGGCAAGUGGAGGGAGGCGGGGAGUUGAAACACAUGUUUUUAAUAUGAAAGCUACCUGUGUGGAAGGAAGAAGUGGGGAAAUGUGGAAAGAGAGGCAGUCCAUGUGAAUAGCGCUUGUCAACUCUGCUUUGUAUUUAUCACACUUCCUUAUGCAAUAAACCUCUCCAUCUGGAAAACUUCUUAAAGUCCCAUUAAGUUCAGUGUGACUUCUGGGCUUCCACAUAACUAUGUGUGAUGUGCCUUUCCCCACUGCUUUCAAUAACAUAUUCACAUUCUAUUUGUUUAAUCUUCAGAUUGCUGAACAUCCAUUUUUUGUGUAUAUAACUCCUACCAAAAUAUUCCUCUGAAAACCUAGAAAUGUGCACAACCUUCUUGACAAACCAGAGAAAUUUCUCACCGUUUUCUAGGCUAAUUUACUAAGUAUAUGCCACCAGCUAUAUGUCACAGUAUAGAUGUUCUUAUCACUUGGCUAAAGAAACAGCUCUUGCAAUGGUUUUGCAGACCUAACUACUUAAAUUAUUUACCUGUGUCUUCAUCAAAUAUAGAUUUAGCUUCCAUCUUCUUCUUGGCACUCCUUUCUUUAGGUUUUACAGCAAGAUCAGCAAAGAUGUCAACAUCAUCAUCAAAAAGAUUUACUUCCAGUUCUUUUGUUUUGACAGGCAGCUUAACAGCUUCUGAUGCAAAUAUAUCAUCCUUGAACAAAGAAAGUGAAGCUUCAGUAUAAGGGAGGUGUUUAUAACCACAUAUCCUCUUCCUGGCUACUCAUUUUAUCUUGUAAACAUGCCGGUUAGACUGACCACUUUUUUGUUGCUGGCAAAAAGAUCAACAUCAGGAUCAUUGUCUUUCUGCAGCUUAUGACUGAAGAGAAGUUCUUCAUCUUGGAAGACUCCUGUACUCUUGGGACACACAGUUUUCUCUGGAGGCUGGAAAGGAAAUAAACACUAUUAAUCAUU